ensembl:antisense Cep112os1 centrosomal protein 112, opposite strand 1
AAGACAUAGGAGGAGCAGAUCUGAAAGAGAUGGAAACAAGCACUCUCAGUAAGAACUCACAGAUGGAAAGGAAAUGAGGCCAGCCAUGGCAGGCAGGAUCUCCAAACAGGACAAGACCAAAAUCCAGGAAAGCGUCCCAUGUCCCCACUCUCAGUGAAAUCAGGACAGCUGAACUGCUUUUUCUGCUAAAAAAAAAUCAUCUAAUAGAGUAUCUGAAAACAGAUCCUGAAUGGCAAAGCAGUGUGAAGCACUACUCGGCUAUUGUGAAGCACUACACGGCUAUUGUGAAGCACUACACGGCUAUUGUGAACAUGCACUCACCGUCUAGUCAACUUGGAUCUCAAUGAACUAUGAGCAACCUGUGUGUUUUAAUUUUGCUUUUAACUUUAUCUUUAUGCUAUCUGUACAGAUGUUUUGCCUGCUGGUGUGUCAGAACACACACGGAUUCAGUGUCCACUGAGUCCAGAGGGGGCAUGGGAUCUUCCAGCUCUGAAGUUAUACAAAAUCGUUAGCUACCAAGUGGGUGCUGAGACUAAAACCCAGGUCCUUGGGAAAAGAAGCUAAUACUCUUAGCCACUGAACCACCUCUCCAGCCCCAAGUAACAGCAAUUUUUUAAACAUUAAAUAUUUUGUGACUGCUUCUUUUUUUACUCACUUCAAAGCUUCCUCAAAUUUAUGGAUCUUCCUCUGAGCAUCUUCCUUCUCUUUAUCAAGUUCACUCUGCAGUUCAUGAACCUACAUGAAAGAAUUCAUGAAAUUAACUGGAAGAAAAGGAUACUCAAAAAUACCAAAAAUACCAACAACAAUCUCAAAUCUUUUGUGAUAUGAAUUCAGAAAUACUUACGUAUUUCAUAAUAGAAAGUUGCUUAUCCAUAGAAUAAUUUCAAUAUUCUACUCCCAAUAUUAAUUUUCAGUUCAACACUAGUAAUUAGAUUGUCUUUAAAAAGACUUGGUAUACAUCAACUUCACAAAGCACCAAUCACUUUGACAAAGGAAAGAAAUUCCACAUGCUUGAGAAGACUAGGAUAAAUACUGUGUCUGCAUUGACCAGCUAUAGAGCGGCUAUUAUAAAAAUCUUCCUUCACUAAGCAUGAUUUGUGCAUCCAUUGACCAAGUUUGCCACAAACUCCUCCAUCCCAGUUGCCUCCUUCCUGCAUGUAGCAACCUUUGAGUGGGUGGAUGACGGCACCAACCAUGAAGGCGAAGAAAAUGUUCUUCACAUAUCCAAAACUGCAGUAUGGAUAUUCAUGUGCACAUGAUGGCAAUCAUAAAAUAUGGAAAAGAAAUUUUGAACAGCUGGACAGAAAGUGAAAAGUGAAUGCCUUAUAUUUAUAGCCACACUGCUAGUAAGGCUGCAGAGCCUCCCUGAGGGUUAAGAAAGCACUCCACUUGGUAUGUGACAAACCACUUAGACCUGCUGGCCACCACCAUAGGACUGAAUAUGAAUCUGCUGAACAGUGAGGCAAGAAAGAAUGACAAGAAGCGCACAUCACACACGCACGCGCGCACACACACACACACACACACACACACACUAAAACCAUGCCACACACUGCAUCAGAACCAGGCAAAAGUAGUUUUUUAAAAAUAAGUUUGGUUGGACCUAAUUAAAAUCCCACAUAUUUUUGGCCUUCCUUUUUUAUAAUUAUUUUGAAUUUUUCCCUUUGUAUAAAGCAAAUAAAUUAGUAAAAUCAACAAUAUUCUUUUAAACUAGUCAUGAGGCUGGAGAGGCAGGUUUACAUGAUAAUAUCAAAAAGCCUUUCCAGUUUCUCAGCUGGCAAACCACUAAAUCAAGACAAAACUGGGAGGCAGAGAAGACAAUGCAUGCUGAGGCGGUGACUGGCCAAGAGAAUGAGCAGACACAAGCCCCACUUCUUGGCACUGUAAUGAUCAACUUAUAAUAUGUCAUAAAUACUAUUUUCUUAUGAUGAGAAGGAUCAUCUCACCUUGAAAUUUUUUACCAAUAAAUUUAUUUUACUCUACGUAGGAAAAGCUGUCUUUUCACAAUUUACCAGGCUCAGACUUCAACUCCUAUCUUACUUCUUAUAGAUCCUUGAUAGGUAUUACUCUGCUUGGCACAGUGUGAGAAUCUUAAAUUGGAAUAGAAACAAACUUUACUCAUUAUUUGGAGGCAGAAAGCAACUCUAGCUAGAAAGACAGGAUAAGUUUCAAUGGUCAUCUCCCUACUUCUCAAGUUAUUUAGCAUGUGUGUCUCAGUCCUCUCUACAAAUGGGAUCAACGAGAGCCAUAUUAAGAUUUCUGGUAAAAAAAAAAAAAUAAGAUUUCUGGUAAAGUGAAUUACUUCAGGCAAGGUUCUUGUGAAUACUAGAACAUAAAAAAUUCUCAAUGUUAAACAUUACAGCUACAGAGUCAAAUAGAACACUCUACAUAUCUCUCCAUUACAUAAGGUCAUUAUAAAUAACAGCCAUGAUGUUCACAGUACACAAGGCUGACUGCCCUUGCAGAAAGCAGCCCCUGGAUGCCAACCAUUCUGAGUUCUUGUAAGUGCUCUGUAUUGCUCACUACCCAAUCUUAACUUGUUUCAAGAUUCAGUUCUACUACAUAGUGAAUUUAAGUAGUUAAUGAGUGGCACCUUAAUAAAAGUAAUUAUUUCUAAGACUAUCCGCUCCAUUUCUGAAGGGGAAAGGGAACUCUCAGGGUGGGGAAGGACUCCCCUCUAGUCAAGAAGGCACACACUGAUACACACUCUUAUUAGCUGUUUCUCACUUAUGCUACUAAGUGCCCAGCAUCCCUGAACCACACUGCAGCAGUCAUUAGGGGAUGUUCUGGGUUUGUUUCCUCUUGACAGAAUAUUUUAGUAUUGCAUGCUUGAGAUUCCUUUUAAAUUAUGGCUUUGUUUUGAUCUAUAUUUCAUAUAUUUGUCGGUAAUAUAUAAUUAAAUACCAUGCAAGUAAUCAAUGCAUACUGAUUUUGAUGGAAGACUACAACUUACUAUUUGUGUUUUAAUGUUAUAUAAAUUAUUUUUACAUAAAAGAUAAAUAAAAAACAACAAAAAGAUGAUGCUACUGCCU